UAGACUGACAUAGUACAUGUUUGACAUCUA
rnacentral:piRNA from 1 species